UACGUAGGGUCCGAGCGUUGUCCGGAUUUACUGGGCGUAAAGCGCGCGCAGGCGGCACUGUAAGUAAGGUGUGAAAUCUCCCUGCUCAACGGGGAGGGUGCAUUUUAGACUGCAGAGCUAGAGGACGGUAGAGGGGGGUGGAAUUGCUGGUGUAGCGGUGAAAUGCGUAGAGAUCAGCAGGAACACCCGUGGCGAAGGCGGCCCCCUGGGCCGAACCUGACGCUGAGGCGCGAAGGCUAGGGGAGCGAACGGG
rnacentral:rRNA from 1 species